GGGGAUGUAGCUCAGUAGUAGAGCAUCUGUCUAGCUAUAAAGAAGCCCUGGGUUCAAUUCCCAGCAUCACAC
rnacentral:tRNA from 1 species